ensembl:lncRNA
CCCCUCCCAAUUCCUGCGGGAAGAUAAGGUGCCUAACUCAGCAGGUGCCUUGCUCCCAGUUUCAAAACUCCCUCCAGUCAUUAAUAUGAGAAGUUUGUUUUCUCUCUGGAUGAAGCCAAUUAGCUAAAACAAAUGGCCACUCUGCUUACCUGAUAAUGUUAGGAUGAACUAUGUGUGACGAAUGGUGUCGUCAUGUCUUCUUGAGGACAACUUACUAUCUUUCUUGAGAACAUGUAUGUAAUCGGUCGUAUCCGCUUGCUUGUCUUCUAUGACAGGGUAAGAUUUAUCUUUGCAAUCUCUCAACAGAUUGCCUGUGAUGCAUGUCACAUUCUGGUUUAAAGCUUACUCACUAAUGAAACGGUUUUCUUUCCUACUACCUUUGUGGAGAGGAUUGCUGGGUUGGGAGAUGAUUUUAUUUUUAAUUGUAUUCCCCAAUACCUCCCGCCAGCAAAAAGAGCUUUGACUUACACCAUUUCCAACUUAAAAAAGGAAAACAUUUCGGCUUCUAAUAUAAGUGGCUCUCACAACUCUAAUCUUUUACUUCAAGUUGUUUGAAACAUUAACUUCAAAUAGCCAGGAGGUCGCUCGGUCCACGAGAUACCAAAGAGAUUUAAAGAAACUCAAAAGCAGGGAGCAAGGUACUUCAGGGCUGAAAGUGCGGAGAAACGUCCAGGGGCAGGACGGAGGCCCAGACCCUACGCCUACUCCGGCCACGCACCUUCGGCCGCUCACUUUCUGUCCAGUCCAGGCCACUGUCCAAGGCCCGUCCCUGGGCGGCACCCCCCCAACCUCCCCGCCGCACGCUGCGCACGCGCAGUUUCCCGCAGACCCGGAAACGGAGCUAAGGACACCCUCCGGUGGGUCAGUGUCAGCUUUUCUGAUUCAGCACUGGUGUUUGCGAUACACCUGCCCGUCCCCGGCCUCCGAUCCGCAACACCCGCAGUUCGGGGGUCACCACGUACGAUAAAACCCCCUUCAGGCGCUUGUGCUGCGCCCGAUGAUUCUCGGCAGGACCGUCAGAUAUUCCAGGCCUGGGAGCCCCACUGCGGGUUCGGGGGUCGACGACUAUUUCGAGUUAAAGUCUCUGAGGCGCGUCCCCGCCCCCGGCCGUCCGCCUUCGGUCCAGGAUUGAAUUCCCAAGCCUGAUCCUGCCUGAGGAAGAAUCCUGGAAAGGGAGGAAGAGCAAAGGAAAGGAGUCGGGAAUGGCCGUCUGUCAGGUGAAGUCGUAUCCUGGGUCGAUUUCCUGUCUCUCAUUCCUGCAAGGCCCUUCUUGGACUUGCCAACCUUGUCUGAGUCUGAAGUGUUUGUCCACACUCCCCCAGGCCUUCCCCGGUCCCUCUCCUCUGCACUUAGAUUCCAGCUCGUAGUGACCCAGGGAUCGGAGCCUGUGAGGGGGCUGCACUGGGCACAUCCUGAGGGGCUUCGCAGCAGGCGAGUGGAGACGGGUGGUGUCAGUGUGGCUGGGCUGCAGGGGGUGUUUAGGGGCCGCCUCUGGACACACUGUAGGCUCUCUGUCGACCAGGAUGAAAGAAGCCGUGUGUGGAAGUCCUGGAUUCAUGUGUAGGAAGAGUUGGAAGAUUCUGGAAAAGAAGAGUGGUAAGAAGAAAGCAGCUCUGCCUGACCUUGUAAUGCAUUCAGAGCUAAACAAGUGCACCAUGGUGUUUCUGGUUCCAAACUACUAAUUUAGAAUCAAGUUCAGAAAUCAGCAUCCAUGAUAGUGGAUGUUUUAUUCCAUAGUUGGUUUUACAGUGUGGAGUCAACCUAAUCAAUGGUAAAGGUUUUAAAAAAAUCAUUCUCAGCACAUCUGUCCCACAGAGACCAUGGCGCUCCUACAAAAGCUCUUGUGAGGCAGAUGUUUUAGAUGAAAAUGGUGUUAAUUUAGCCCAGAUCUGGAGCAUAGAACUUUAUCUUCACCAUCAGAGGGGCUGUAGCCAUCUGGUUCCACCAUUAUUUUUAAGUAUUAUAUCUCAUUGACCUUAGACAUCACAUGAGUGAGUGACAUGUAUUGAUUGGUUGAUUGAAUAAGCUCCAGACCAAGAAGCAACUUAGGCACGAAGAUGUAGUCAGAAGGGGAUGCUCUUCCCUGUCACUUCCCCACCCUUCAUGUCUCAACAGGGAACUGAUGUUGUCAGUUCUGUGGCAGGAGUCAGUUCAAACCUGAUACAAAUGCAUUUAACACUGGUAUGAAAUUUUAGGAAAUCUCGAUGAAGUUUGUCGUAACAUUUUAUUAUGCAAAUUAGAAAAAUUUACAUAGCACGUCUAGACACUGUUUUCAUGUUAAUCAACACAAUCAGACACAGCUUGCUCAUUUAGAGCCUCAUUGGAUCAUUUUCUUAAUGGGGACACACGGGGACCUUUGCCAUUUUUCGCUGAUGUAAAGAAUGCCACGAUGGCUGUGUAGGAGUAGGCCGGCCUCUCUGCAGAUGUCUCAGGAUUUCUCUGGGUCAGGCAACUCAACGUGUGAUUACUGGGUUAAGGACAGUGCAUUUCACAUUAGCAUAGAUUCUGUCCGAUAUGGUCUCCUAAAGCUACGAAGUACCCCAUCCCACAACAACACGUGAGAUUCCCCCCCUGAUGUAAGCAAAAUUGGUACUGUAAUCUCUUUGUGUUUGAAAAUUGGGGAGAAAUUGACAAUCCGUUGUAUUUCCAUUUUCCACCUACUUGUAACUUUCAUUAGUUUUGUGGGAAUAAAACCUGGAUUUUCAUACUUUGCUGUUCUCCU